rnacentral:rRNA from 1 species
AUUGAACGCUGGCGGCAGGCUUAACACAUGCAAGUCGAGCGAGCGGCGGACGGGUGAGUAAGGUCUGGGAAACUGCCUGGUGGAGGGGGAUAACUAAUGGAAACGGUAGCUAAUACCGCAUACCACCAGAUGUGCCCAGAUGGGAUUCGCUAGUAGGUGGGGUAAUGGCUCACCUAGGCGACGAGCCCUAGCUGGUCUGAGAGGACGACCCGCAACACGGAUACUGAGACGCGGUCAAUACUCCUACGGGAGGCAGCGGUGGGUAAUAUAGCACAAGGGGAGCAAGCCUACUGCAGCCACGCUUGGUGUGUGAAGAAGGCCUUGGGGUUGUAAAGGACUGUCAGCGAGGAGACGUUACGAGCAGAAGAAGCACCGGCUAACUCCGUGCCAGCCGCGGUAAUAC